UCGCUAGCAGUCCAGUGGUUAGGACUCUGCACUUCCACUGCAGGGGGCACAGGUUCGAUCCCUGGUUGGUGAG
rnacentral:tRNA from 1 species